rnacentral:misc_RNA from 1 species
GAUGAAGAACGUAGCGAAAUGCGAUAAGUAAUGUGAAUUGCAGAAUUCAGUGAAUCAUCGAAUCUUUGAACGCACAUUGCGCCCGCCAGUAUUCUGGCGGGCAUGCCUGUUCGAGCGUCAUUUCAACCAUCAAGCCCCCGGCUUGUGUUGGGGACCUGCGGCUGCCGCAGGCCCUGAAAAGCAGUGGCGGGCUCGCUGUCACACCGAGCGUAGUAGCAUACAUCUCGCUCUGGGCGUGCUGCGGGUUCCGGCCGUUAAACCACCUUCAUAACCCAAGGUUGACCUCGGAUCAGGUAGGGAUACCCGCUGAACUUAAGCAUAUCAAUAAGCGGAGGA